CCAACUUCAGAUCAACCCAGAAAUGUUUAGAAAUGGAGCAAUAACAAUAGACCACUUCAUUACAUGAUUGAAAAAUCCCAAUGACCCCUAAUGAACCCAAUGUUAGACAAAAACUAUUCGAAACCACUCAAAGUAACUAAAAACUGGACUAGAACCAUUUUUUAAAUUACCAAAUGGUAGACACAGCCUAAAACAGUCCUGCUUGAACCCCGAAUUCCCUCAGAAUCAAUAGACAAUACCCCCCAAAACGUUGAAUGAUCAGAAACCAAACUAAAAUGUAGGGCAAUAACUUGAAGAUAAAAUUCACACAGAAUUCCAAUCAAACAAUAUCUUUUCUUUGGUUAUCUGCAGUUUUGGAUUAUUUUUUGUUUAUUUUCUGUUGAAGAAUGCUAAGAUCUAAGGGGAUUUCAGAUCUGAAUUUCAGAUCUG
rnacentral:lncRNA from 1 species